rnacentral:sRNA from 1 species
UAAUUAUUUUUGAAUGUACAACAGUCAUAUGAGAAUGAAGUAGUUACAAACAUUGGUUUAAUUACCCAAGUUUGAGGUAAUUGAAUGUUUCUGCCCAGAGUUUCGACUGCUGUGGCUUGAAGCGAAAUUUUGGAACGUCCUGCAUGAGCGGGACAACAA